GACGAACGCUGGCGGCGUGCCUAAUACAUGCAAGUAGAACGCUGAAGAGAGGAGCUUGCUCUUCUUGGAUGAGUUGCGAACGGGUGAGUAACGCGUAGGUAACCUGCCUGGUAGCGGGGGAUAACUAUUGGAAACGAUAGCUGAUACCGCAUAAAAUGGAUUAUCGCAUGAUAAUCCAUUGAAAGGUGCAAAUGCAUCACUACCAGAUGGACCUGCGUUGUAUUAGCUAGUUGGUGGGGUAACGGCUCACCAAGGCGACGAUACAUAGCCGACCUGAGAGGGUGAUCGGCCACACUGGGACUGAGACACGGCCCAGACUCCUACGGGAGGCAGCAGUAGGGAAUCUUCGGCAAUGGACGGAAGUCUGACCGAGCAACGCCGCGUGAGUGAAGAAGGUUUUCGGAUCGUAAAGCUCUGUUGUAAGAGAAGAACGAGUGUGAGAGUGGAAAGUUCACACUGUGACGGUUCUUACCAGAAAGG
rnacentral:rRNA from 1 species